CCUACGGGAGGCAGCAGUAAGGGAAUAUUGGUCAAUGGACGAAAGUCUGAACCAGCCAUGCCGCGUGAAGGAUGAAGGCCCUCUGGGUUGUAAACUUCUUUUAUCUGGGACGAAAAAAGCUCAUUCUUGAGCACUUGACGGUACCAGAGGAAUAAGCACCGGCUAACUCCGUGCCAGCAGCCGCGGUAAUACGGAGGGUGCAAGCGUUAUCCGGAUUCACUGGGUUUAAAGGGUGCGUAGGUGGGUCUGUAAGUCAGUGGUGAAAUCUCCGGGCUUAACUCGGAAACUGCCAUUUGAUACUAUAGGUCUUGAAUCAUCUGGAGGUAAGCGGAAUAUGUCAUGUAGCGGUGAAAUGCUUAGAUAUGACAUAGAACACCAAUUGCGAAGGCAGCUUACUACGGUGUAUUGACACUGAGGCACGAAAGCGUGGGGAUCAAACAGGAUUAGAUACCCUGGUAGUCCACGCCCUAAACGAUUGGAUACUCGACAUCAGCGAUACACUGUUGGUGUCGUGAGCGAAAGCAUUAAGAUCCCACCUGGAGUACGACCGCAAGUUGAACUCGAAGGAAUUGACGGCUGAGACGNGCGAGCGACGACGAGGGAGGAGG
rnacentral:rRNA from 1 species